UGUACUCCUCUUCUUCUCCAUCCCCCAAAUUGUCCUCCACCUCCGCCUAUGUUCUUCCUCUGCCUGCGACGCGUGCUACCUGAAGAGCGAAGGCCGUCGAGUGGGCUCCGAUCAACGGAAUCGCAAAAACGGCACCAAGCCCAUCCAGAUCGGAAGACCGGUUCUCCUUUUACACGGGUUAAUUGUACCUCAUGCCGCCGUAAUCAGGGAUUCAUGACGCUGGUAACGCCUUAAUGAUCGAUUCAUGACGCUGGUAAUUUGGAACCAUUAUUUCGAGCGUUACUCUCAGUUUUCCCUUCUCUUUCAUGUAUAAAUAUGUGGACACAGCUAACGUCUUUCCUCACUACACCCAUCUCACAUUGGACGUCCCAUUAGUAAUCUGAGAUGCUGCUUGCUUAGGGAUUGUCAUCAUCCUAUUUUCCAAAUUAUUAUUCCCGGAUUCAUCUCACCAGUGUGACCUUUAUUUAUUAUUAUUUCACAAUGGCUGCUGGACAGGUACAUUUGCUGACAUAUUCUUUUGAGAUUAUUUGUUCCUUCUCCUUUAAACUAGCUUCAUACUGUCUGCUACUACAUACUUUCCAAAAAUUAAUCAAACAUGUCCAUCUAAGUACAUCCUUCUAUGUGCACGACCUAGGCGAGGUUUUAUUAUCAGUUGUCUGCAUAAGUACAAGCCACGAAACCAACUAUUUUCCUUCUCCUUACUCUCAACAUGAACGGGAUGUGUUCUCUAUAUUUCUGCAUUUUUUUUAAGUUGUUACUACGUACACUGAGGAAUUGAGGAUAUUCCAGAUUUGAGUCUUGUCCUUGAUGAAGGUAUAUUUCUUGGUAAUUUUAAAACAUGGAUUCGAAUUUGAUCUACUCUGUACUAUCUUUAUGUUCCCCUGGGCAUCAUUCUGGUUUUGUAGGGAUUAGAGGGUGAAGAUCAUGCUUUUUUUGUUAAUGCUGAUUCCAUCUCACUACUUUGUUUCCUUGCACGGAGUGAUUUUCUGAUCAACACCCUGAAUAAGAAUUGUGACAAUGCUCCUCUGCUCCCCUAUGGCACUACCUUGUUCCAAUGCUGGGAUGUCUCUUAAUAUCGCUGCAGCGACCAGGUCCCAUCGGAUUAUUCGCUCUUACCAAUUGGUCUCGUGUUUGCCAUGGAGACGGAGAAGAAGGCUGUAAUGACGUCAGCGGAACAGGGUGCCCCCGGCGCGGUGAAUACUGCGACCGGCUUCUGCAUGCGGAUGUCAGGUUCUUCCCGAUCUCCCAUUCUUGUGCUUGCGGCCGUAGUCUCGAUGAGAUUUUUGUGCUUGGCAAUCGAGCAUCUCGAUGGUGUUAUUUAGAUUUAGUUAUGCCUCCAGCUCUGAUUCUUCGAGUAACAUUGUGGUUUAUUGAUUUUCUUAGGAGCUACUCCUGAAUCCUUUUUUUUUUGAGAAGGAAUAGCUGCGAUUUUAUUACGACAGGUCUGAAUCUAGUACAAUCUGGUUCCUAAUACACAACGGAACAGAAUCAUACCACACAUUACAAAGUUUAUUCUACUCCUGAAUCCUGAUUCAUGCGAGGGUGCUGCACAAGUUGGAAUAAUGCAUAUGACAGUGUCCUGCUGAGUAAGGAUGCAAUGAACCGAGCUUUCAAUUGUACAUCUACGCGGUGAUUAUUAAUGACUGGGUAGGAUAAACAAAAUGUGAUCUUGUUAUUGAUAUGAUUCCUAUGCAGUUUUUGGUUGUCAGGUCUUCCCAAUUUGAGACCAAAUGAAUUUACACACCAUGGGUGUGAUAGUUUGUUUCCGGUACUUGAGAUUCUCGAUCUCUACCUAUUUCCUGUAGGGAUAUUCCAAAUUUUCUUAUUGACAUGUUGCGUGUCAAGUUCUCUUUAAAGAAAAAAAAAAGUGUAACUGAUGUAACCCUAUGCAUAUAUGUUAUAUUGCAGGAAAGUUCUUACGUAUCCUGUUUUAUUCACGUGCCCUUCUCUUCUAAUUGGUCAGUGCAUUCAAGAUUUUUGUACUAAUUCGCCAUUAUAAUUCCUACAUCUGUAUGGCUUCUUAUAAUAAUUUUCUCUAAAUUGUCAGCCGAACAAAUAUCCAAGUACCGCUGUAUGCAGGUGUUCCAUAGAGUACCACCCAUAUAAACCUGUUGAUAGCAAUGGUUCAGAAAAUAUUGUUUGACUUUGACAAGCUAGCUUCGUAUGGUCUUAUUGUGGAUCUUUAUUUCUGCGUUUACAAUGUUUGCUUUAAUACAGUUUUCUUUUUACCAUUUUAGUUAUCUCUGACAUCUAAACAAACUAAAUGAUAUGAAUUAUCAACAUGCUGAGAAUGCAAAGAGUUUAGGCUUAGCAGAUGUGUUCUUGCUAUUCGCCAUGCCAUUUGAUUCAUCACAGGUACAUUCUGGGCUAGCUGAUAUUUUCUAUGUGUUUUUCCCAAAAAGAAGGUUGAAUCCCCGGCCUCUACAUCAAAAUAAUGCACACAACCCGCUUUAUUAAAGUUGAAGUAAGGCAACCAUGCCAAACUCAUCGGCAGUUAAAUUACAUAACGUGAACAACUAGGGGAACAUAUAUUUCCAGAGUUAGAACUAUUUGAUAUCUUGUUCUGGUCUUUAUUAAAGUAUAUGUAAGGCAACCAUACCAAACUCAUCAGCAAUAGAUUAUAUAACGCAAACAACUAGGGGAACUUAUAUUCUGAGGCUAAUGCAGUCGAGUGAUAUUUUUAGAACUAUUCGAUAUCUUGUUCUAUUCGAUAUGUAAGCCUUAUAAACCCAUCUCACUGAUAUUUGUUAACACAUUUUUUCAUUUAUUAUUAAUGUUAGAAUCUAAUAUCUUUUGUUAUUGGUGUUGUUCCAUGUUUACAUAUCUAUGUACUACAGUGACUCAAUUCCUGGUAGGAAAUUAAUACAUCAACCCACUUAGUUCACUAAUCCCAUUUAGCUAGGGCUUGCAUUUAAGUGUUAAUCUUUGUCUGGGUCCUGGACGUGAGGCAGGUGUACAAACAACAAUUUCUUUGUCAUCUUGAUUAGUGCCUAUUUCCCAGUUCAUACUUUGACUGCUUCUAAAUUUCUGUACUUAACCCUUUUAUCUAAGGUUUGGGGUAUACAACUGAUCUGCAGCUGCAUGCAUGCCGGGAUUUACUCCAUGUUAUCCAAACUGUCUUCUCCUCAUCAGUAAGUGAACUUUUUGAAAACAUGUGACUGCUCGAAAUUGUACAUUCUUCUUGGUACUUCAUAGGACAAUGAAAGAUUCACUACUUUGAUACCCUGUCCUGAAGGAUUACCCUUGAACUUUUCAAUGAUAGUAAUUUAAAUUAUUCUUAAAUAAGUUUCUUUAUAUGAAGUGGUUACAGUAAUCUUGAAGAGAGCAUACUGUAAAUGAGAAAAAAUCUUUUGAAAAUGGAUGUUAGAAUAUAUACGACAAGAGGUUGUAGAAGUUAUUUGCAUUGCUUCUCUAUGGAAAUUUAAUAAAUGUUACUGAAUUGAUUGCAGUGCUUGUAUUCGUCAUUCUUAUGUCAGAGCCUCAUUUUGACGCUUAUGAUUUAUUUAACUUCUGUUGGUUUUUCCCUCAGGGGGUAUACUAUAAAACCUCCAAUACGUGGUAUAACUUUGUACCUAGAUUCUAUCAAGUGAGAAUCCUUCAGUCUCUUUUUGACAUACAAGAGAACCAUGGAAGUGCUGAUUCAGAAAUUCUAGCAAUUGUGUAUGGCUAGCACGAUGUAUUUGUUGCCAGAAAUUUAUUAUCCAUUCUGACUCCA